GUAGGGAAUAUUGGGCAAUGGAUGCAAGUCUGACCCAGCCAUCCCGCGUGCCGGAAGAAGGCCCUCAGGGUUGUAAACGGCUUUUGACGGUGAAGAAUCGACAGGAUGCGUCCUGUUUUGACGGUAGCCGUUGAAUAAGCACCGGCUAACUCCGUGCCAGCAGCCGCGGUAAUACGGAGGGUGCGAGCGUUGUCCGGAUUUAUUGGGUUUAAAGGGUGCGUAGGCUGGAAGGUCAGUCAGCGGUGAAAAGCUGUCGCUUAACGAUAGUCUUGCCGCAGAUACUUCCUUUCUUGGAUGAGGAGGAGGCCACUGGAACGGAUGGUGUAGCGGUGAAAUGCAUAGAUAUCAUCCAGAACACCGAUUGCGAAGGCAGGUGGCUGUACCUUAAUCGACGCUGAUGCACGAAAGCAUGGGGAGCAAACAGGAUUAGAAACCCCAGAGUCC
rnacentral:rRNA from 1 species